CUGGAAUUUGUGAUUUGUUAAGUGUUCUGCCUCAUUGACCCAACUUUACUCAGCAAUUGUUGAUGGAGUGGCGUGUAGGGAAUGGAUAGAUGAUUGCAUAUAAAGAUGAAAAAAUGCGUUCUCACCCUCAAGAGUCUGCCAGUGAGGCCGAUAAGUACCAAACGUGAAAAGUAAAUAUCUGGUCUUUUAAGAUACUUGAAGAUGCCAAGUUAAUUACUUUUCUGUUGUGUAGAUUUUAUGGAAAGAACUCUUCCUAUGUUCAUGGGGGAUUGGAUUCAAAUGGAAAGCCAGCAGAUGCAGUCUACGGGCAGAAAGAAAUCCAUAGGAAAGUGAUGUCACAAAACUUUACCAACUGCCACACCAAGAUUCGACAUGUUGAUGCUCAUGCCACUUUGAAUGAUGGUGUGGUGGUCCAAGUGAUGGGGCUUCUCUCUAAUAACAACCAGGCUUUGAGGAGAUUCAUGCAGACAUUUGUUCUUGCUCCUGAGGGCUCUGUUGCAAAUAAGUUCUAUGUUCACAAUGAUAUCUUCAGAUACCAAGAUGAGGUCUUUGGUGGCUUUGUCACUGAGCCUCAGGAGGGUAAGUUGUGAAACACUAUAAGUUGACUUCUCUGAAUUUUCCUGAUGGCAUCAGACUGACAUUUGGCUUUCUUGAAUGUUUUAUUUUAAUCUGUAUUCAUUAAUAAAUAAUUGUCAAGACAUAUGACGGGUCUGGGAUUUUACUUCAUGGAUGUUAAUAGAAGAUGUAAGACUCCAAGGUCAGGAGUGGACAGCGACAAUAGUAGCAUUUUUGCCACACUGCCCACAGGAUACUAUGGAGGGACAGAUGAUUUAAUUGUACUGCUAUAGAUUAUGUCAAAAAUGAGGAACACUUGAGUUUAGGGACCCCAAAUCUUUUAUAAUGGGCAC